rnacentral:rRNA from 1 species
UAAAGCGUGCGCAGGCGGUUAUAUAAGACAGAUGUGAAAUCCCCGGGCUCAACCUGGGAACUGCAUUGUGACUGUAUAGCUGGAGUGCGGCAGAGGGGAUGGAAUUCCGCGUGUAGCAGUGAAAUGCGUAGAUAUGCGGAGGAACACCGAUGGCGAAGGCAAUCCCCUCGGGCCUGCACUGACGCUCAUGCACGAAAGCGUGGGGAGCAAACAGGAUUAGAUACCCCUGU